GACGAACGCUGGCGGCGUGCUUAACACAUGCAAGUCGUACGGUAAGGCCCUUUCGGGGGUACACGAGUGGCGAACGGGUGAGUAACACGUGAGUAACCUGCCCACAACUUUGGGAUAACGCUAGGAAACUGGUGCUAAUACUGGAUAUGUGCCCCUGCUGCAUGGUGGGGGUUGGAAAGCUCCGGCGGUUGUGGAUGGACUCGCGGCCUAUCAGCUUGUUGGUGGGGUAGUGGCCUACCAAGGCGGCGACGGGUAGCCGGCCUGAGAGGGUGACCGGCCACAUUGGGGCUGAGAUACGGCCCAGACUCCUACGGGAGGCAGCAGUGGGGAAUAUUGCACAAUGGGCGCAAGCCUGAUGCAGCAACGCCGCGUGCGGGAUGACGGCCUUCGGGUUGGAAACCGCGUUCAGCAGGGACGAAGCUUUUUGUGACGGUACCUGCAGAAGAAGCACCGGCUAACUACGUG
rnacentral:rRNA from 1 species